AUCAGCAGUUAGUGCAGACUCGCUGUUCAUACAGUGUCUGCGUUUAGUUCUUGGACUGGAAGCAGCUGCAGACUCCAUCAAAGAGGAGAAUAAGAAGCAGCAGAUUCUUCACAGAGAGAAGACAUGCCGCCCUCUCUCCUCUCGUCUCUCCACCACUUUUCCUCCUGUCAACACCGUGAGCGCAAUGCAUGAUGUUAAAAUGAACUUUGAUGGAACUCGACGAUGAAAAGGUGUGAAGAAGGUGAAGACGUACCGAUGGGCAGGACGAGGAAGAAGGGCAGCCAGCAGAGGAUGAACAUGCCCACCACCACA